UACGUAGGGGGCGAGCGUUGUCCGGAAUUAUUGGGCGUAAAGAGCUCGUAGGCGGCUUGGCAAGUCGGAUGUGAAAACUCCAGGCUCAACCUGGAGCCGUCAUUCGAUACUGCUAUGGCUAGAGUCCGGUAGGGGAGUGUGGAAUUCCCGGUGUAGCGGUGAAGUGCGCAGAUAUCGGGAGGAACACCGAUGGCGAAGGCAGCACUCUGGGCCGGCACUGACGCUGUGGAGCGAAAGCGUGGGGAGCGAACAGG
rnacentral:rRNA from 1 species